rnacentral:rRNA from 1 species
AACGAACGCUGGCGGCAGGCCUAACACAUGCAAGUCGAGCGAAGCCUUCGGGCUUAGCGGCGGACGGGUGAGUAACGCGUGGGAACGUGCCCUUUGGUACGGAAUAGCCCCGGGAAACUGGGAGUAAUACCGUAUGUGGUCGAGAGACGAAAGAUUUAUCGCCAAAGGAUCGGCCCGCGUUGGAUUAGGUAGUUGGUGGGGUAAUGGCCUACCAAGCCGACGAUCCAUAGCUGGUUUGAGAGGAUGAUCAGCCACACUGGGACUGAGACACGGCGCGGACUCCUACGGGGGGCAGCAGUGGGGAAUCUUAGACAAUGGGGGAAACCCUGAUCUAGCCAUGCCGCGUGAUAGAUGAAGGACUUAGGGUUGUAAAGAUCUUUCAGUGGGGAAGAUAAUGACUGUACCCACAGAAGAAGCCCCGGCUAACUCCGUGCCAGCCGCCGCGGUAAAAC